rnacentral:lncRNA from 1 species
UGGAAUAAAAGACGCACAAUGGAACAUGGAAGCCUUCUCUAAAAUGAGCAAACUAAGAUUGCUCAAAAUCAACAACGUGCAGCUUUCUGAAGGACCUGAAGAUCUUUCCAAUAAGUUACGAUUUCUUGAAUGGUAUUCUUACCCUUCAAAAUCAUUGCCAGCUGGUUUACAAGUGGAUGAGCUAGUUGAACUUCACAUGGCUAACAGUAAUCUUGAUCAAUUAUGGUAUGGGUGUAAGGUGAGAUCAACUAAUUUAAGGGCCUUUGUAUUUCGUUUUAUCAUUUUCCUAUAUGUGUAUGAUAGUAGCAUCCGCAUUUUUUCUCCCUUGCCUGAUUGCAGAGUGCACUUAAUUUGAAAAUCAUCAAUCUCAGCUACUCACUAAACUUGUCCAGGACUCCAGAUCUUACUGGAAUUCCAAAUCUUGAGAGUCUGAUUCUUGAAGGUUGUACAAGUUUGUCUGAGGUCCAUCCAUCACUUGGAAGUCACAAGAAUCUUCAAUAUGUGAAUCUUGUGAAUUGCAAAAGUAUUAGGAUUCUCCCAAGCAACCUUGAAAUGGAAUCGCUUAAAGUUUUCACUCUUGAUGGCUGCUUAAAACUUGAGAAGUUUCCAGAUGUAGUAAGAAACAUGAACUGUUUGAUGGUGCUUCGUUUGGACGAGACUGGUAUUACAAAACUAUCUUCAUCGAUUCGUCAUUUGAUUGGCUUAGGUCUAUUGAGCAUGAACAGCUGCAAGAACCUUAAAAGCAUUCCGAGUAGCAUAAGUUGUUUGAAAUCUCUUAAAAAACUCGAUCUGUCUGGCUGCUCUGAACUUAAAAAUAUACCAAAGAAUUUGGGGAAAGUUGAAAGUUUGGAGGAGUUCGAUGUAAGUGGAACUUCAAUAAGACAACCGCCAGCAUCUAUUUUUCUUUUAAAGAGUCUUAAAGUAUUAUCUUUUGAUGGAUGCAAAAGAAUAGCUGUGAAUCCCACGGAUCACAGGUUGCCUUCUUUGUCGGGUUUGUGUUCUUUAGAAGUACUGGAUUUAUGCGCUUGCAAUCUAAGAGAAGGGGCACUUCCUGAAGAUAUUGGCUUCUUAUCUUCUUUGAGGUCUUUAGAUCUGAGCCAGAAUAACUUUGUUAGCCUGCCUCAAAGCAUAAAUCAGCUUUUUGAACUGGAAAGGCUUGUCUUGGAGGAUUGCUCGAUGCUUGAAUCAUUGCCUGAGGUUCCAUCAAAAGUUCAAACAGUAAAUUUGAAUGGUUGUAUAAGCCUAAAAGAAAUUCCAGAUCCGAUAAAGCUAAGCAGUUCCAAAAUCUCAGAGUUCCUCUGUCUUAACUGCUGGGAAUUGUACGAGCAUAAUGGCCAAGACAGCAUGGGGUUGACCAUGCUUGAAAGAUACCUCAAGGUCUUCUCUUAAUCAUACCCCAACCUUUUUGUAUCGCUCUCCCUCUCCCGCUAUCUAUCUAACAUUUUGGUUUUUCAUGGUACAGGGUUUGUCUAAUCCAAGACCUGGAUUUGGUAUCGUUGUUCCUGGAAAUGAAAUUCCAGGCUGGUUUAACCAUCGAAGUAAGGGAUCUUCAAUUAGUGUGCAAGUGCCUAGUUGGAGCAUGGGGUUUGUUGCGUGUGUUGCAUUCAGUGCAAAUGGAGAAAGUCCUUCUCUCUUUUGUCAUUUCAAAACCAAUGGAAGAGAGAAUUAUCCUUCGCCGAUGUGUAUUAGUUGUAACUCUAUCCAAGUUCUGUCAGAUCAUAUUUGGCUAUUCUAUCUAUCUUUUGAUUACCUUAUAGAGCUUAAAGAAUGGCAGCAUGGAUCCUUUAGCAACAUUGAGUUGUCAUUUCAUUCUUCCCAGCCAAGAGUAAAGGUGAAGAAUUGUGGUGUCUGUUUGUUAUCUUCUCUAUAUAUUACAUCACAACCAUCUUCUGCCCAUUUUAUUGUUACAAGCAAAGAAACAGCUUCUUCAUAUAAAGCUUCUUUAACUCUCUCUUCAUCGUACCAUCAUUGGAUGGCCAGUGUUUUCCCUGACAUCAGAGUCGCAGACACUAGUAAUGCUAUCACCUAUUUAAAGUCAGAUCUAGCUCGGAGAGUCAUUAUCUCAUUGAACGUAAAGGCAAUUAGAUCAAGACUUUUUAAGGCCAUUGAAGAAUCAGGGCUGUCAAUUGUUAUAUUUUCAAGAGAUUGUGCUUCUUUACCUUGGUGCUUUGACGAACUUGUCAAGAUUGUCGGAUUCAUGGAUGAGAUGAGAUCGGACACUGUGUUUCCAGUUUCGUAUGAUGUCGAACAAUCAAAGAUAGAUGAUAAAAAAGAGAGUUACACAAUUGUCUUUGAUAAGAUUGGAAAAAAUCUCAGGGAAAACAAGGAGAAGGUACAAAGAUGGAUGGAUAUUCUCAGUGAAGUUGAGAUUUCAUCUGAAUUGAGUUCAUCGGAAAGGUAAUAAUUACUUCUUUUUUGUGUGUGUAGCUCGACUUAUCAACCACUUCAAGUAAAUGAAACUUGGAAUGCUGAAAUAUCAAAUUUCAGAACUUAAUGUUAACAAAUCUGCACCGUGCAAGGUUCAGUACACAAUGGGGUUACAAGUAUUUUUUUCAAGGUAGAUUAUGAAUUUAAGAAAAAUUAAUAUUAAACUUAGUUGAGUUUAUGGUCUGGAUUAACCCGACAUGUUUUACUAUGGACGAUAUUGUUUACUUUAAUUUUUUUUUAGGUUUGUUAUAAAUUCAAAGGGAGAAAAAUAUUGAACCGGUUGAGUGUAUUAUCCAGGUCACAAGUUUGUUUUUAAAGGUUGAGUAUAAAUUUUUUUAAAAAAAUUUCAACCUAGUUGAGGAUUUUUUAUAAAGAUUGAGUUUUUUUAUGGUGUUGUGUAUUUUUAAUUUUUUAAUUUGUUUUUUUUAAGUUUAAUAUAAAUUUAAGAGAAAACAAUUAUUGAACCUCGUUGAAUUCAUGGUUCGAAUCACAUAUUUAAUUUUUUUAAGGUUUAAGGAAAAAAAUAUUGAAGCCGAUUGAGUUCAUGAACUGAGUUACGGGUUUAACGAGUUAAGCCACAAUAACCAGAUAAUUUUUUUUUCUAAUGUUGCUUUUUUUUUUAUUGAUAUCUUUUUAUAUAUAUCUUAUUUUAGAUAAUUUUCAAUUUAUGUUUCAAUUAAUAUCACUCAUAUGUGAUUUGUUUUGUUUAUUUAACUUUUUUUUUUAAUAUAAAUUGUUUUUUGAUGGUGUUGUAUGUAUUUGUUUUUAAAUGUUGAAAAUAAAUUUAAGAGAAAACAAUAUAGAGUCUGGUUAAGUUCAUGGUCUGGGUCACAUGUUUAAUUUCUUUUUUGUUAAAGGUUGAAUACAAAUUUAAAAGGAAAACAAUAUUGAACCCGGUUGAGUUUAUGCUCCGGGUCACGGAUUUAACGAGUUAAGCCACAACAACAAAACAAUGUUUUUUUUUUCUGAUAUUGCUUUUUUUUACUGAUAUUUUUUUAUAUAUCUUUUUUAAAAUAUUUUUUAAAUUUAUGUUUCAAUUAAUAUUCCUCAUCUGGUCUGUAAAAGAGCGUCAUCUUAUUUUUUUCACAAACAUCUUGCAACAAAAAAAAAAAAGGUUAGUGGGCGUGGGCCCUAACAAAAUGCGGCAAUUGGGUUGGCUUAACUUAGUAGUCCCAACAACGCCUGACCUUUGCUUUUUUUUUUCUUUUAUAUGUUUUUUUUUUUAAAUUAUAUUUAGAUUAACAUCCCUUCUCUUUUUUUUAUGUUGUUUAGAGAUCCUCUUUGAAAUGAUGGUUAAUUUUUAGUUAUGCAUUUAAUUUUUGAGAAAGUUUUUCUAAUUCAUUUAUAUAUUUUUUAAUUUUUUGUACAGAUGAAAUUUAUUCUUGAAAAUAAAAAUUUUUAUUUUCAAAUAAUAUUUCUAAUAUGUGCAGCCUUGCAUAUUAUUUUUUUUCAUUUUAUUUUAUUCAAUUAAUUUGAUGUGUAUGUCUACUUUUAUUAUCGUUUGAUUGAAUAAAAAACUUGUUUUAAUUAAUAAAUUUAGUAAAUACAAUCACGUAAAUAUCUCGUCUUUCGAAAUUAAAUAUCUUAAUCUACACUAGUUUCUCGAUUUUUCCACUUUUAUGUUUAGUUGUAGUUUAUAGUUGUUGUUUUUUACUUAUUAACACACAUAAUUCUUGAUUUAUUUGAUUAUAUUUAUGCAUAUUUUUUUUUCACUUAGAAUUUUUUAAAUACAAAAACAUGUUGAAAAAAUCUAUCUAUAAAUUUUUUAUUAAAUUUUUUUUUAACACCCAACAAAACAUGUAACAUCGAUUCCAUGUACAGUUUGACUAUAUCUGAGCUGCAGCAGCUGCUCGAGCAGCAGGAGCAGGUGCUCGAGCAGGAGGAGCAGAACCUGCAGCAGGAGGAGCAGCAGUUGCAGCAGUUGCUCGAUCAGCAGGUGCUCCAGCAAUGGCGACGGCAGGUGCUCCAGCCGGAGAGGCGACAGCUGCUCCAGCCGGAGAGGCGGCAGCUGCAGCAGGAGCAGCGGCUGCGGCGGCGGCUGCGGCAGCUCCGUCUGCGGCGGCAGCUCCGGCAGCUCCGGCUGCUCCAGCAGCGGCGGCAGCUCACCGGGUUUUGGUUAGUAAUUAACUUGCUUUAGCUUGAAGUUCUUCGGCAGUUUUUGCUCAUGGUUUUGGUUUGGGGUAAUUAGAUUCACAUUUUACUACCAGUAUAUUAAAAUAAUAUAUAAAAAAACUUAAUUUAAAAUAAAAAAAAUAAACUUAAUUUUUUAAAAAAUAUAUUUUUAAAAUAUAAAAACAAACAAACAAUCUACCCGACAACCUAUUAGAUCAAAUCAUGAGGAAAGGCGGCAUCUUUAAUUUGUUACUUUUACACAAAAGUGUUUGUUUGUUUCUUGGAUUCAAUUUGCCAAAUUCUCAGUUAUUCUUGAAUUAACAUAAAUCUUGCAACUCAAGUUUUGGAUUUUAUAUAUUUCCUUUUAUUUUUUAGUUAAAUAUAUUUUUAUUUUUUUUACUAAACAAACACAACAUACUGUAAAUAUAAAUUCAAAAUAUCUUUACUAUAAUAAAAAAAAUUAAUUUAGUAACAAUUUGUUUUAUAAGCCUGACAAAUUGUCGCUUUUAAAUAGAAUAUGAAUUUUGGAAGGUAUUUCUUUAGUAAUUAAUAAACUUCUAUACUUUUCUCUUAGAUGCACCAACAAUUUUUAUUGUUAAUAGCUUUAUAUUUACAACUAUAUAAACAUAUAAAUAUUAAUAUAUAUAAUCACUUACUCCAAAAUUGGACUUGCUUCGUUUGUAAUUGGCGAAAUAUCAACCCAUGAAGAUUUUAUGGGAAAACCCAGUUUUAUUUUUUUGAGAAAUAGUGGUAGUACUAAUGGGAAUCGGUGUGGUGGAUUUUGUCCAAGAGGGUAUGUAUGUGUAGCUGAGGCAUUGUCAUCAACAGAUGUUGAAGAUAAUGUGUCUGGUGCCGAUGAAGUGCAAGAAUUGCAGCCAGAAAUGAGGAAAGAAGAGGAGCACUUUAGGAGGAGGAGGCUACGUGCUAACCCUGGAAUAGGGUCAAGGAAGCAUAGGGUCUUAAGGAGAAGGCAAGUGAAGAUUGAGGCGGAAGCAUGGGAGCUGGCAACGAAAGAAUAUAAGGAGCUUUUGAAGGAUAUGUGUGAGCAUAACUUGGCUCCUAAUUUGCCAUAUAUGAAGAGUUUGUUCCUUGGUUGGUUUGAGCCUUUUACAGAUGCAAUUGAGCAGGAGGUAAGUAAUUUUUAAUGUUUUAUUUGCUUAUUUUUACUUGCGGUUUGAUUUGUAGACAGAGGAUAAUGAGUGCCCCUAUAAAAAUAUUGAAAGAUAAGAGAAAACAUAAAGUUUCUUAAAUUUACUUUUAGACAACCUUCAUCUGAGGUGAUGAACUAGGAAGAAAGAUGAAGGUUACUAUGUACAAUUAUGAGAUAAAAAUCAGCUAUGGAGCUAGUAGUGCCUGGAAAAUUAGAUUUUGAAGUUACGUUCCGUAAAGUUUUGUCGAAUGUUGAAUGGGGUUUUUCUGGAUUUCUUUUUUAUAUAUCUAUAGUUUUUACUUUCAGUCCAAGUUCUUCUGUUGUUCAUGGUUCCAGGGAAGACACUAAAUGUAGGUACGAAAAACAAUGUAGUGUAAGAUCCUUUAGAUUUUUUACAAUUUUUUCAUUAUGUGUUAAACUUUUCAUAUCACGGGCCUUAUUAGGCUGAAUAUUCUAUUACGCCUUUCUUUAUUGAGCUACAAUUUCUUCAAAGCAUGGGCAUGGUGGACUCAUAAGAGUGACAUUCAACUUUCCUUUGUCAGAGCUCAUCUCAUGUUUCGACAUUGCUUCAUCUAGGAACUCUUCUUCUCCUUGCACUUGUUGUCUCACUAUAGUACCUCGUUGGAUCCUCUGGGUACUCCUGCAUAAUCUCCGUAUGCCCUCGUGCAAUUUAUGUUCUCCAGAUUUAUCUAUACUCCUUGCUUAUGUUUGACAGUAGCUCAUCCUGUCACAACACCUGUCCAAGUCAAAAUAAGGUGUCAAUCUUUAUCCCCUUGCUAUAUUUCUCUUUCAUUAUUAGGAUCUUCAUCAAUUCUCCCCUUGAGAAAUCACAGUCACCGAAUCUAAUUUCUUUGGAGAAAUCACCACUCCAUCAGAUCCUUGAACAUACUGAACCCAACUAUUCCCUUAUGCCGUCAUCUUGCUAGUCUCCAACCGUUUCAUUACAAACUGUUAUAUAUACGAAAAUAGUACCGUAUGGAUAAUCCUUCCACUAAGCAAGUUCCCAGGAAAGAUUGGAGGGGUCACACCGGUCCCGCUUAAAACCCAAUCUCCUAAACAGAACUUCUAAGGCCAUAUCUAUCCAUCGUACUGUCUUUCCGUAUAUACAACCAUUUGCUAGCUUUAUUGCAGCUUUCUUUUACAAGUGAUCUGGAAUAUCUUGGUUCUAUACUUGAUUUCUCAACAUCUGACGAGACUACCAGUGCUUGGAUUCGUCAAGAUUGGUCUUCGUUAAUUUCCACUCUCCACCUCAAAUCAUCCACUUGAUCAGGUGUCCAAAGUGUUCCAAUUUUGCCUUCCUUCAAGGUAACUAAAAAAUCUCCCCGCUUAGCAGUUCAGCACAUGUAAUUGGAUAAACAUGUGAACCUUCUUCUUCUUCAUCUCCAUCGACCACCAUAAUGACCUUCAGAUGCCUCCUAAUCGGGCAAUCUCUCUUAAAAAUUCACCACCACCACUUUUGGUCUCAAUCUCAACGAUCAGACUGUACCAUUGCAUCUAAAACGAUCAAAUUAGCUAGAAACAAGUCUGAAAUCAUCGAAAUCGCAUUUCAGACGGCUAAAAUUUGAUCAAAACAAUUCUGGUCUGAUAAACGGCCCAGAUUCAAUCUCAGAUCCGAUUGCACAUAGAAUCCGCUACACAAGAUCCUAUACCUCGGCUCACGGCUCGACUCCUCUCGGCUCAGCUCUCGGCUGAUGAUGUGGCAGGUGGGUCCCAAUGUGCUGACGUGUUAGCUGACUGGGCGCUGACAUGGCAUGCCAACUGUGCAUGCUGACGUCAUGCUUAUGUCAUCCUUAUCCAGGUCAGUCCCAUGGGUCAAGUCAACUAGUAUUAGGGUUGGGUCAGCCCAUCCGGGCGAAGAAGACGAGUGGCACGCGUGGGGGGCGUCUGCACGCGUGGACAACCACCUCGUCGGCGCGUGUGGCCAUGUCUGACAUCCGAUUUCGAUGUCGUUUUCACCAGUGUGAUCGUCUCUUCCUCUUCUACACAGUGGUAUGGUCAAAACACCAUUUUGACAACUUUCAUUUUUGGGCAAAAAUCAAACACCACUUUAAACCAUGUGCUCUGAUACCAAUUGUUAGGAAUUCUGACUCCUAUGCGCGGACCGGUGAUGUUCUGAUAGUUACCCAUUGUAGGCUUAGCACACUGAGACACAAUAUUUAACGUGGUUCGGCAAAUCGCCUACAUCCACGGGAGAGGUCCAUAUUAUUAGAGAUAGAGAAAGGAUACAUACAAAUACAUGGAGGAGGAGGAUCACUUCACUCAACUCAACUCACAUCUCUCAUUGCUGCACUUGCAGCUACUGUGUAGAAGAGGCUCUGCCUCUCCAUUUCUGUAAUCUCCAUUGGAAGGGAAACUAAUUGUCUUGCAGGUGUUUAUUGAAAACAUGUUGAAUGUGAGAUAUGAGAUGGAAGGGUUUGUCUAGGAUUCUCAAUAAAACAGAGAACAUUGUCUUUAAACAUUAAAGAGCAUUUGCUAAUCACAACCAUGUCUAAUACGGUAAAAUUAACAUUAUUGCCACAGGCAGGAGAAUUUAGGGAUUGCUAUGGAAUUCUUUAUUAUAAUGUUUUUGAUGUUAAAGGGAGAGGUAUACUUCAUGGAAAAGAAUGAUUGGCAGUUAGAGAUAAAAUAUAGAGAAAGAAAAUGUGUUAGGUUUUCUACAAGGAUGUUGUGGUGGAUUAUUUUAGCGCAAGAAAAGACAAGAGUAUAUGUUUGGCAAGUUAGUUAGGAUAUGUUUUUCAUGGACUUUGGUUAAGUUUUUCAUGAAUAGGUGAUCACAAUCCUCAUUGGAAAAACUACACAUGCUUUGGAAUAUGAAGAGGCCUCUAUAGCAGCUUCUGUCAUUCAACCUAUUGCCUUUAAAUCUGAUAAGCUCCCUAGCCCUUUUGGUUGUAAAUUGCCCAUUAGGACUGAGAUUCCUGGACACACUUUCUAUCUACAAAAAGAAAAGAUUUAAACCAGUGAUUGCACUCUGAAUAUCUUUAUUUGAUCAGAUCUAGCAUCAGACGAAAAUCAUUUCAUGAAUUGGUCUUGGGGAAAGAGCACUUUGUUUUCUAGCAAGUUUAUAGUGGGUCUUGGCUCUUUCACUCAAUCAUCAUGCAAAUUGCAGGAGGCACAUUAGCAUAGUCCUCACUAAAAUUAAUUUUAGAUCCUUGUAUACAAAUUUGGAAGAUGCAAAUUCUUCAUACAUGUUCCUUACAUAUGCUACUUUAAUCUGGAAUUUAAUGAGUUUAUGGUUGGAUUCUGGUUCCCAUGUAGUUGUAGCAAGUCUUAACACCACUAUUGCUUCUAGUAACAAAUCAGGACCUGGCAUUUAAGUAGCUUUUUUGGUGUGUUCUAAGCUCUUCUUAGAUAAUUGUGUCAUAGCUCUCUUACUCGUGUCGAGCAUAACCUCAAUGCCCUUUGCAGUUAUGAUAAAGGGCACCUAGGAAUCAGCUACAGCCAGUUUUUGAGGUCUGUACAUAUUAGAUGCAUUGCAUGGUUACUGAUGCGUAUUUUAUUGUUUGAACUAAAUCAUCUUUUGGUACUAACAUGUGAUGUUCUUUGAACAAAAUCUCAUACUGACAAUUUUGUAUACCUUCACAUGCUAUCACGUGUAGAUUUUACCAGCUUAGCUUCUGGUUUAACAAGGAUUCUCUUUUGUUUGAAUUAAUUUUCCAGGCCCUGGAUACACUAGGGAAUACCGAAUGGAGGGUUUGCUCCCUCUGUGGUCUCAGGUUCGAGCCCUGUGGUUGCUCAUAUGAUAGCCACUGGAGGCUUACAUGAUCGUUAACUUCAGGGCCCGUAGGAUUAGUCGAGGUGCGCGCAAGCUGGCCCGGACACCCACGUUAAACUAAAAAAAAAAAAAAGAGGGUACUUAGUGUUGUUGAUAGAAUAUGGAGUAAUGGAGGCUGUCUUGCUGAUUUGGUAGACCACAGUGAUGUGAGUAUCUUUUCUAACUUUCCUCAAUGUAAUUCGUGUUUUUUUUAGAAACUCCUUUACCUUUGUGUUCCAAGAAUUGAUCAUGUAAACACAUCAUACAUGUAAAUAUGAAUACACAAUAUCCAUACCCUAACAAAAAUAUUAAUUUAGUAAUAGUUUUUUUUUAUAAGCCUAACAAAGUGUCGCUUUGGUAGGCAUGCUUUAAAAUAGAAUAUGAAUUUCGGAAGGUAUUUUUUUUAUUAAUUGAUAAACUUCUUUACUUUUCUCUUAGAUGCGCCAACAAUUUUUAUUAUUGAUAUUUACAACUAUAUAAACACAUAAAUACAUAAACAUUAAUAUAUAUAAUCAAUAUCAAUAUUUACACCAAAAUUGAACUUUCGUUUAUAAAUAACAAUGCACCAAGCCUAAAUGUAUUGAGUCUAAUGUUAGCCAGACCUAGACACGGUGGAUCUAGCACUAGCUAGACCCAAGAAAUGAUUAGAUCUAGCUACCGCCUGACCCAAAUCUUGUUAGGACUAGCACUAGUCAAAUUCAACCAUAAUUGAGCUUGGUAGUGUGUUAGACCAAGGCGCAUUGAGUCUGGCAUUGACCAGACCCAAAAGAUAAUUGAGUCUAACACCAUAAACACUCCUUUGUCAAAGGUUUGAGAUGGAAUAUUUGCAAUGGGAGAGGAAUUAGUGUUUGUGAUUGGAACAUUAAAAUUGGGUUGUUUGUAAGAGGAAUAUUAAAGCUUAAUUCAUAAUAAUGUUGAAGGAUAAAAUUAAAAAAAAAUACAAAUAAAAAAACCCUAGAUCAACUCGCUAAAUUCACAACACGAGUCAUAAAACUAAAAUAAUAUUAUAAAAAAAAAUCAACAAAUUAUAAAACUUAAUCUUUAAGAAGUAAAAUGUUGAAAGAUAAAAAAAGCAUGUAGAUUUUUUUAAAAAAAAAAUAUCAUUGCAAAUUUUAACUUGGUAAGAUUUUAUGUUAAUAGUAUUAUAUUAGAUGAGUCCAGCUCACCAUAAGCCUACAUGGAUGAAUAUGAGUUAAUGGUGAGUCGAGCUUGUAUAAUAAUUUAUGGGUAGCAAAAGUUGUGCCCAGUAUUUCUAUAAUACGACGAGGUUUAAUUUCUUUUUUUUUCAUGGUUAUCUCUCAGUGGAUAGCAGCAUCAAUCAUAAGAACUUCUAUAUUUAUAUCUAAUUUAAAUACUAAUUAAACGUGAUAAGAGUGGGAGUUAAAUAUAACGCUGCACAUCAAAUGCUCUUCAAAAAAAAAAAUCUACAUUGAAGCUUUUGAAAAGAAAUAUUAACAUUUAUCACCUUCUGCGUUCUAUUUGUUUAACUGAAUAUAGAGCCACCUUGUUACACUUUAUUAUUAUGAAUAAUAAAAUAACUCCAAACUGCAUUUAUUGGAAGCUUCUGCGAUGUGCCCAUCAAAUACGACUAUAGUGAAUCCCUGGAUAAGAGAUCGUUGCUUUCGACUUUCCGACCGCCGUUGCAUAGCUCAUCACAGCCAUCCCCACUUUCAAAAACAGCAGCAGCUCCCAUUCCUGUGCCUGCAUUUAAUUAGUGACAACAGUUAGCCAUAAGCAUACGUUUCCAGCAACACUCCACGCACCCAGAGAGAGAGGGAGAAGAAGAAUACCUAUGCACAUUGACACCACCCCGAAGCGACAGUCCAUGCCACGACGCUUCAUCUCAUGCAGUAAAGUAGCCACACAUCUAGCACCUGUAACAGUUGAUGAGGCAUGAAUUAGUCUCAGAAAAUGAUUAAACAAAUAACUGCUGCACCACAUAUUCAUGUGUAAAAUUAAAGAACAUAUAUUAAUGGAUUGAUAUCACAAAGAUCACCGUACACAACUCAAAAGUGAUGCUCUAUACAAGUCUUGAGCAGAUUUACAAGCACCAAAAACUGUUUCCACCACCGACACAACGCAAAACCCCUGAAUUUACCCAUGUUUGUGUCAAUUCAUUUCUGCACUUUUGACCAAAUUUUUCUUUUGCUUUUUUAUGCUGUCCCACUGAGCAGACCUUUUUUGUUCUUUUGUGUGAAAAAAAAACUAAAAAAACUAAUUAGAAAAUAAAAAAAAUAUUUAAAAUUCUAAAACCGAUUGAACUAGAUCUCAUAGACUAGUUAUUUUUAUUAUAUUCCCAUUUUUAUUUUUUAUUCUAUAGAUUUUUCUACAUUGAAGCUUUUGAAAAAUUUACAUUGAUCAUGCUUUUUUAUGUUGUUCCACUGAGAUGACCCUUUUUUUUUCUUUUAUGAAUUGAAAUUAUAUUACAUGUUUGUAAUUGUUUCAUCUCAUUUUUAUUUUUGAAAAGUAAACUUCCUUUAAUUAGAUUAUCCUUAAUAUUAAAUUAUCCCUUUGCUUUUUGCAGAGGUCUUAUCAAGCUGUUUGGUUUCUUGAUUUCAGUUGAAUUGAUUUUUAGUUUAUUUCACAUUAUAUUUUCAUGAAAUGAACAGGACAAUAAACUCUUUUAAUAAUCAUCUUGCCUUUAACUUUAAUUAGCUAUUUCAAAUAAAAAUUAUUAAUUUAAAUUUUACAAACUUUAUAAUUACUAAUAAUUUAUAUAAUUGUUAAUUUUAAAACUGUAUAAUUAAUCAUGAUAUAUGGAAACUGCUACAAUACUCAUGUUAAUAAUGAAAACAAAAUUACAAUCACAUCAGCAUGGUUGAAUUAUUCAUGGUUGCAUUCGCUUUCACCCCCUGACUAUGAACAGGAACCCCAAUUAAAUGAAAUGGUCCACAGCGUUUUCGGUCAACCAAGUCGGCUUCCACUUGCAGCACAAUUCAUCAAAAAACGAUGUGAAUUAUCAUUUGAUGUCGAACCAGGUGGACUAUCAGCUGCAGCCACAAUUAUUUGAUGCAUAGCAAAAUAAUUAUUCAGAAUCACAGUACCUUGGCAGUCCUUUCCAGCCAAAUUGAUGUGUUGUGUGCUAAUCCGACGAAAAUCAAGAUCCCAAAGAGGGUGAUGCCGCUGAUGUAGUAGUUGCAAUGCCGAGGAUAUCUAGAGAAAACUGUGAGUAACCCUGUCAAAUUUUUUUAUUUUUAUUUUACUCGAUCUCAUAAUUAAAUUUUUGUUGCAUAAUUUUUAAUUAAUAAACAUGUAAUUAUAAAUGAAGGAAAGAAAAAAUUGGAUGGACUUGUUUGUUUCAAUUUUAUUUUUUUGGUUUUAUCUUUUUUAUUUGUUUUUUAAAGCCUUUUUUAACUCAAUCAAUUCUUUAUUUUUUAUUAUUUUUUUAAGUAUAAAAGUAUAUUCCAAAGAAUAUUUUAAAGUAAUUGGGCAAAUAACAUUGUUAGCCACGGAGAGAUCAAUGGUAUGGACAAAAUAAUAGUAUAAUGAUUGGACUCAAAAACUUUCAAAGACAAAAUCAAUAGUAUACGAUCCCUCAAACUCAUUAACCCCUCACAACUCACUAACCCAAAUUCUCUUGUUUUUGGAUAAUUAAAAAGAAACCAUUUUUUAUGUUGUUUUGAAUUUUUUUUAUUUACUAUUUGAGAUUUUAUAAAAAAAAAUGGUUUGAUGACAGAGGAAUCCAUCAUGUUUGUAUUGAUGGUUGAAAUUGUGUUUGGGAUUUCAUUAAAUUUUUUAUAAUUGUUUUUUCUUAAAAAAAACAUUUUAUAUUUUGUUACCAGCAUGGAGCUGUGAAAAUGAAGGGUUGUAGUGGCGAGGAAUGUUUUUUGGAUUUAAUUUAAUGUUUUUUUUUAAUGUCAGUUAAUUAUAUAAUUUUCUUAAGAUCAAUCUUUUAAUAAAAAAUAUGUAGGAGCUAUAAAAUUGGUGGGACUUAUUCUUCUUAUUUUGAUUUUUUUUUUUUUGAAAACAUGUUUUUCUUUUCAGUGCUUACGAACUAGAUCAAAACAUGUAUUACUUUUUAUUGUAUGUAAAAUGUCCUUAUUUACUUUUAAACAUAGAUGCUUGACUUGAGAAUUCAUUACAAAACACGAAUCAACUCAAUUGUGAUGUGCGUGGCCCAACCCCUGCUCUUGACAGGAAGGUGCCUCUGAUGUCCUUAUUUACUUUUAAACAUAGAUGCUUGACUUGAGAAUUCAUUACAAAACACGAAUCAACUCAAUUGUGAUGUGCGUGGCCCAACCCCUGCUCUUGACAGGAAGGUGCCUCUGCUGCCCAACACGAAUCAAAUUUUUCUUUUGCUUUUUAUGUUGUCCCACUGAGAUGACUUUUUUUGCUCUUUUGUGUGAAUUGAAAUUAGAUUAGAUGUUUAUAAUUGUUUCAUCUCUUUUUUUUUUCUUUUUUUUUUGAAAGGUAAACUUCCUUUAAUUAGAUAGUAUUUUUUUUUUCUAUUUUGUUUUGCAGGCUUUAAUCUUUUUUUUUCUUUGAUUAUCCUUACUGUUAAUAUUAAAUUAUCCCUUUAUUUUUUUUGCAGCUGCCAAGAUAUUUGGUCCCGAUUUUUAAAUGUACCAAAUUGAAUCGGUUUGAUUCAAACUGGUUUUCAGUUUAUUUUGGAUCAUUUUCUCAAGAAAUUGUUGUUUCUGGUUGAUAUUUUUAGAUCUAAACUGUACCAAUCCAGACAAUGAACACCCCUAAUAAUCGUCUUUGCUUUAACUUCAACCAGCCAACUACCUCAAAUUUGCAAUCACAUCAGGCGCAUGGCGUUGCAUUCGCAUUCAUCCUAUUUUCUCCGAGACCUGUUGAAAACUUGCAGUUUGGUGGUGGCGGAUUCAGUGAGAUGGACCAGUGGUAUGAUCAGGAAGUAGUUUUAUCUUUUUUAUUUGUUGUUUAAAGUCUUUUUUAACUCUUAAUCAAUUCUUUAUUUUUUAUUAUUAUUUUAAAUAUAAAAGUAUAUUCCAAAGAAUAUUUUAAAGUUAUUGGGCAAAUAACAUUGUUAGCUAGCCACGGAGAGAUCAAAGGUAUGGACAAAAUAAUAGUAUAAUGAUUGCACUAAAAAACUUUCAAAGACAAGGGACCUCAUCAAAUCAAAUCAAUGGUAUACGAAUCCCUCAAACUCAUUAACACCUCAUAACCAAGAAAAUAAAAAUCGGUAACAUUAUUGAGUAACAGUAAUAAGUUGUAAAAGAAAUAAAGAGAGAGUUUGAUGUAUUAAGGAGUUUAAGAGUUAAAGUGUGUUUUUAGAGAUGAAAGAAUUGAGAUUAAAGGAAAGUAUGAAGGAGAGCUUGAUUGAAUUUGUUUUGGUUUUUGAUUCUUUAUUCUGUAAAUGUAAGAAAACUUUUUUCCAUAAUGAUUCAUUAUUUUGUUUUUUAUGUUUGUUCUUGAAUUGAGUAGAAGUGGUAUAAUGUAAAGUGAUUCAAGACCUGUUUGGAAAUUUGAUUUUUUUUUAAAUUAUUUAUAUAUAUAUUUUUAAAUUGUAUUGAUGUGUUUAUAUCAAAAUUAUUUUAAAAAAAUAAUAAAAAUAAUUAUUUUUAUAUAUUUUAAAAAAUAAUCACUACCAAAUUUUCAAGCAUUUAUAGUGAAAGGUUUGAGAUGAGAUAUUGGUAAUGAGAGAAAAAUAGGUGUUGGUGAUAAAAAUAUUAAAGUUUGAGAUUCUAAACUCAAUUCAAUAUGAUUUUGUUUUUCGUUAAUUAGUUUCAGUUAAUAGGGUGGUACGUGGCUAAGUUUAUUUAAAAAAAAAAUCAAUGGGAAUUUAUAGUAUUUAAUAUAAGAGUUUUAUAGUUAACAGUUUGAAAAUUCAUUAAAAAAUACUUUUCAAUUGUGAUGUGUGUGGCCCGGCCCUGCUCUUGACAGGAAGGUGCCUCUGCUGCCCAAUGCGCGUUCGAUAUCCCUUUCAUUUCUAUCUUCACUUUUUCUCCACCAAAAGAAAAUCCAGGAAACUUACCAAUACGAGUGAGUUCUUGACCUAAAGGAACCGGAAAAAAUUCGAAGUCAUUGGAAUAAAAAGAAAGAAAAGGGCUUUGGAGGUUGGUUACUAAGAUACCAGACGAAUAAACAAAUAUUGGGCUUGUCUAGAUCUUGUGCCUCUUUAGGCAACACUUAGCACACGGUUUGUUUCGUCUAGAUUCGAGUAAUACUUGGUAGAAAUUUGGUGUUUUCUGAUUUCUAAGUAGAAUUGUACAAAUUGCUAAGUGGUAGAUUUAAUUGCCAAAUUUCUUUUUUUUUUUUAGUUUAACGUGGGUGUUUAGGCCAGUUUUCGCGCACCUCGACUAAUCCCACGGGCCCUGAAGUUAACGACCAUGUAAGUUUCCAGUGGCCAUCAUAUGAGCAACCACAUAACUCGAACCUGAGACUAUAGAGAGAGCAAAUCUCUUAAUUUCAAACUCUUACCACUUGGUCAUCACCUAGAUAGUUAAUUACCAAAUUUCUUGAUCUUACCUUCUGUUUCACGGGCCCUGCAAUUCAUAUUUUUUUUUACUUGGUAAUUAAGUAUGAGAAAGAGUUAAAUUUUUUUUUUAAAAAGAGGUGUGCCUUAAGUGUGAUUUUACUUUUGAUUUUCUUUGAAUUUAUUCUUGACCUACAUGGAAAGAAAACAAUAUAAAAGUAUUAUUUUGUAAAAUAAAAAACAAAGCCACUAAUUUACCCUAAUAUAAAUCCUGCAGUCAAUUAAAAACAAAAAUAAAAACACAAAUUGUGAGCAAAAUUUUUCUACAAAAAAAUUGAAGUAAAGCCACCAAUUAAUUUAUCUUUCAUCAAACAAAAUAAGGAAACUUAAAUUUAAAAUUUAUUUUAAUUUUAUUUUGAGAUGUUUGUUAAUAAUUUGAUGAAAUUUUUUUAUAUAAUUCUAUCAUUUUUGCUUUUUUUUUUCUCAGAUUUGCUAAUUCUACCAAUUGUUUUUUAAAUUCUUGUUAUAGUGAUUUUUUUUUCUAAUUAAUUAUAUAUAUUUUAUUGGUUUGUUUUGAUUAUGUUUGGAUUUUUUUAUGUUGUUUUUAGCAGAGCCACUAAAAUUAUCAAUUUUUUCUUAUGAUAUAUGUUUUGAUUUUAGGUUGAACCAUAAACAAAAUAAGAAGAAUUGAUAUGAUAAUCGAUGAUUUUUAUUUUAUGAAAGAACGAUGAGUACAAUUAAAAUAAAUAUGUAAAAAUCAUUCUUUAUUAUUAUUUUUAUUUAUUUUAAAGUUUAUCAAACAUAAAUAAUGCUUCGUUUUAUUUAUGAUGUGUGAUGUGUAUGAUGGUUUGGGAAAGCGGUUUCAGACCCGUUUGGAAAUUUAAUUUUUUUAUAUUUUUAAAUUAUUUUGAUAUAUUUAUAUCAAAAUUAUUUAAAAAUAAUAAUAAUAAAAUUAUUUUAAUAUAUUUUUUAAAAAAUUCUUUUAAAAAAUAACAACUAUUAUAUUUUUAAGCACCCUAGCCCUUAGUAAAAGGUUUGAGAUGAGAUAUUGGUAAUGAGAGAAGAAUUGGUGUUUGCGAUCGGGGAGGAAUUAAAGUUGGGCUGUUUGUGAUAAAAAUAUUGAAGUUGGAGAUUCUAAAAUCAAUUUAAUAUGAUUUUUUUUUUCGUUAAUUAGUUCCAGUUAAUAGGGUGGUGGCUAAGUUUAUUUUUUUAAAAAAAAAAUCAAUGGGAAUUUAUAAUAUUUAAUAUAAGAGUUUUAUAGUUAUUAGUUUAAAAAUUCAUUAUAAAAUACUUUUCAAUUGUGAUGUGCGUGGCCCCACCCCUGCUCUUGACAGGAAGGUGCCUCUGCUGCCCAAUGCGCGUUCGAUAUCCCUUUCAUUUCUCUUUUCGCUUUUUCUCCACCGAAACUCCAUCUUCUUUACAGUGUAAACUUACCAGUACGACUUCUUGACCUCAAGGAACCGGAAAAAAAUUCGACGUCAUUGGGCUUGGCUAGAUCUUGUGCCUCUUUAGCCAACACUUACCACACGGUUUGUUUCGUCUAGAUUCGUGAAAUACUCGUAGAAAUUUGGUGUUUUCUGAUUUCUAAGUAGAGUUGUACAUGUUCCAGCUUGAAAUUAGUAAUUGGUAGAUUUAAUUGCCAAAUUUCUUGAUCUUACCUUCUGUUUCAUGUUUGACCACAGGAGCAGGCCUUACACAAAAUAGCGUGGACAGCAAUUGCUGAACCAAGCGAGCUAGUUGAGGCCAGAAGGGAUCGGUACUAGUUUAUCGCUAUAGGGAUUUUCAUGGCUUCCAGCAGCGUGCAAGGAAUAACCUCAUCUUCAUCUUCUCCUCCUCCACUAUAUAUGCAUGAUGUGUUCCUUAGUUUUAGAGGCAAAGACACCCGGAACAACUUUACUAGUCAUCUAUAUUCUAAUCUGACACAAAGAGGCAUCGAUGUGUACAUGGAUGAUAGGAAGCUCGAGAGAGGAAAGACCAUCGAACCUGCUCUUUGGAAGGCCAUCGAAGAAUCAAGGUUUUCAGUCAUUAUAUUUUCAAGAGAUUACGCUUCUUCACCAUGGUGCUUGGAUGAACUUGUCAAGAUUGUUCAGUGCAUGAAAGAGAUGGGGCAAACUGUUCUGCCAGUUUUUUAUGAUGUGGAUCCCUCAGAGUUUUAUGAUGUGGAUCCCUCAGAGGUAAUCGAGCGGAAACGGAAAUAUGAGGAAGCCUUCGUUGAGCAUGAACAAAAUUUCAAGGAAAACUUGGAGAAGGUCCGGAACUGGAAAGAUUGUCUCUCUACAGUGGCCAAUUUAUCUGGCUGGGACAUACGGAAUAGGUAAAUCAUCUAUCUACUUAUUCUUAUUCUCAAAUCUGCCAUGUAUUGUUUCAAUGAUGAACAAGCAUGAUAGUAAAUGUGUACUUUUUUCAUAUGCAUGAUUUUUUAUUUUUAUUUUUUUAUGACAUUUUGAACUGAUGUGAUCAAGCAUUUCUAAUCUUUAUAUAAAACUGCUUUCUAUUCUUAGGUUUUUCUUUAUAUUUUGAAAAUAAAAUAAAAUAUUAAACAGAAAAAUUAAAAUGUAUAAAAAUGUUGAAAAACAAAUCUAGCAUGAACAAAUAAAAAGUUAGCUUAAAAAAUUAAAAAUGGUGAAGAAAUGACAAUAAAUUCAUCAUAAGAAAUAAAAAAUUGACCAAAGUUUUUGAAUAUGUUGGUUUUAGCUUUUCAAAAUAAAAUAAAAAGAUUUUCCAUCUUGAAUUAAAAAAUUCAAACUAUUUAUAAAUCAAAGAGACAAAUUUAUUUAUAAUUUGUUUUGUGAAUAUUUUUAUUUUUUUAUUUGGAAUUAAAAUUUGAUAGUUGUCUUUCUUUUACUAAUGGAUUGUAAUAAUGAAUUUACUAAUUUUUCAUUCUAAAAACAAUACACUACUUAUUAGGGAUAAUAGGGUAAGUUGAAAACAAUACACUGCUUUUUUUUUUUUUGUCUUUUUUUUAUGAUAAAAAAAAAAGAAGAAAAGUGGUUGGCUUGUUUGUAGAACACACAAGCAAGUAAGUUGUUCUAUCUUAUUUAAGGAGCACGAGAAAUGGCUUAUGACACCCAAAAAAAACCUUCAUUGAUGUUUUAUGAUUCACCACGACAUGACCUUCUUCCCUGAGUGACAUGACCUUCCUCCCUGAGUGACAUUUGUGGAGUAAUUCUUUUUGGUCUAGCACCAAAUGACUUUUUUUUUUUUUCUUUUAUCUUUAUCCUCGAAUUCCGCACCCGACCUUCUAAACUUGUAUAGUAACCCUUCAAUCAGGUUUUUUUUUUAUAUUUGGUCUAUUUCCUUUCAAUUGAUAUUUUUUUAUUUGAAUUAUUUUUUAAAAUUGAAAUUUGUUGUUAAUUUUAUACUUUUUAAUUUUUUAAUCUAUUAGAUUUAAUUCUCAUUCUUUUGAUUACUAUUUAUUUUAUGUGAGAUUAUUUUUAUUUUAUUUUUUUAUUGAUUUCAUCCUUCAUUUUUUAUUGUUAUGUUUUUUUACCUUGGCAAGUUUUUAAAAAAUUGAUAUAUAUAUAUAUAUAUAUAUAUAUUAUUUCUAAUUUCAUAUUUUAAUAUUAAAUUAAGCUUUUUGGUUGAGUCUGGAUUUAGAAUUUAACGGAUUGAGAAUUUGGGACACUAACCUAGGUUUAAGAGAUUUGUCUAGGUUUGUUUUUUUUUUUAACUCAUGUUUUUUUUUUUUGUAGUUUCAUCAUUCAAUAUUUAAUUUAAUUAAAGACGACUGAGCUCUAUUAAUUUUUUUAUUUGCUUUCUAUAAGAUUUUUAAAUAAUUUUAAAAAUAAUCGGGGUUAUUUUAAGUCUUUUUAUUUCUCAUUCUUUGUUAAAUCUAGCUGCUAUUUUUUAAAAAAUUCUUUUUUUUAAUUGAAUAAUUUUUUAUGUUUAGCUUUUAAUAUUUGGUUGAUUGAAAUCGGGCGCUAUUUUAUUUUGAUAUGGGUUCCAUGGAGUUUUCACGGAUUCGUGCUUCGGAUAGCAAGUUUCACAUGUUUACCAUAAUUAUUCCAUAUCGAUCUAGUGUGUUGUCAUCACAAUUAUAUUUUUAAAUAAAUAUAUCAUCAGAUAUAUUAAUUUCACAAGAUGAAGAAAUGGGUUGUGAAAAUUUAAGUUCAGCAUCUCAAGGUGCAUGGAUUCAAUUUGCGCAACCUUAGGGAAAUUUUCUUCAGGCUAUGCUAAUAUGGGAAAAAACUCAAAAAUUAAUAAAUUUAAAGUUGUUUUUUUAAAGUUAAUUAUGCAAGAUAAUUGAUUUUUUUGUUAAAAAUAAUUAUAAAAAUAACUUAGUGGUCCAACAAAAAUAUGAUAGAACUCCUUUUGCGUCUAUUAAAACCAAACUUAAUGGAUAUUUUAUUUCCUAGCUUUUGUUCUUGUAUGCAUGCUUCUGUAGUAACUAUGGGAUUCUAUAGGCAAUAAGAUAGCUAUUGUACGAAUCAUUCUUAGCAUCAAUACAAUCCUAGUUCCUUUUUCAGUUUAUUCUUUCCUUUUCCUCUAUGUUCUUGAAGCUAUCUAUUAUCAGUGCCCUAUUUUUCUCAAAGGUUGGUGUAUUAAUUUCCGGCUAACAGCCAUACAUUUUCGAGCUACAAUAUGCUAAUGUCUAUUUUCCCAUUAUCACUAUCUGAUUUGAUUUCUGCACACUGCAUGAUUAAUGUUUUGCACCCUUCUAUGCAGGAAUGAAUCGGAAUCAAUUAAAAUAAUUGUUGAAUACAUAUCGUACAAACUAAGCGUCACUCUGCCAACAAUUAGCAAAAAAUUAGUUGGAAUAGAUUCUCGUGUAAAGGAAUUAAAUGGCUAUAUAGGUGAAGAAGUAGGCAAAGCAAUCUUCAUAGGGAUUUGCGGAAUGGGUGGCAUAGGUAAGACGACUGUUGCAAGGGUACUAUAUGAUAAGAUUCGUUGGCAAUUUGAAGGCAGCUGCUUCUUAGCAAAUGUCAGGGAAGUUUUUGCUGAGAAAGGUGGACCACGCCGUUUACAGGAACAACUUCUUUCUGAAAUCUUAAUGGAACGUGCUCCUGUAUGUGAUUCUUAUAGAGGGAUUGAGAUGAUAAAGCGGAGGUUACGACUUAAAAAGAUUCUUCUUAUCCUUGAUGAUGUAAAUGACCGUAAACAACUAGAAUACCUGGCUAAGGAGCCUGGAUGGUUUGGUCCAGGGAGCAGAAUUAUCAUAACAAGCAGAGAUACAAAUGUGUUAACUGGAAAUGAUGAUACUAAAAUUUACGAGGCUGAGAAAUUGAAUGAUGAUGAUGCUCUUAUGUUAUUUAGCCAGAAAGCUUUCAAAAAUGACCAGCCUGCUGAAGGUUUUGUGGAACUAUCCAAGCAAGUUGUGGAUUAUGCUAAUGGUCUUCCACUAGCUCAUGAAGUUAUAGGUUCGUUUUUGUAUGAAAGAAGUAUCCCUGAAUGGAGAGGUGCAAUUAAUAGAAUGAAUGAGAUUCCUGACGGCAAAAUUAUUGAUGUGCUUCGCGUUAGUUUUGAUGGCCUCCAUGAAUCAGAUAAGAAAAUAUUUUUAGACAUUGCAUGUUUCCUGAAGGGGUUUAAAAAAGAUCGAAUAACAAGGAUACUUGAAAGCCGAGGAUUCCAUGCAGGUAUUGGAAUACCAGUUCUUAUUGAGAGAUCUCUUAUAAGUGUCUCUCGGGAUCAAGUCUGGAUGCAUGAUUUGUUACAGAUAAUGGGUAAGGAAAUUGUUCGUUGUGAAUCCCCUGAAGAGCCUGGAAGGCGCAGUAGAUUGUGGACAUACGAGGAUGUCUGCCUUGCACUGAUGGACAACACAGUGAGUACUACUGAUAGAGAACGUUAUCCAUAAGAUUUCAUAAAGUGUAUUUUAAAGUAUAUCUCUACUUUGUAAUUGUUUUUUACUUGUAUUCCCUUUUGGUUGACAGGGAAAAGAAAAAAUAGAAGCCAUAUUUUUGGACAUGCCUGGAAUUAAAGAGGCACAGUGGAACAUGAAAGCCUUCUCUAAAAUGAGCAGACUAAGAUUGCUCAAAAUCAACAACUUGCAGCUUUCUAAAGGACCUGAAGAUCUUUCCAAUCAGUUACGAUUUCUUGAAUGGCAUUCUUACCCUUCAAAAUCAUUGCCAGCUGGUUUACAGGUGGAUGAGCUAGUUGAACUUCACAUGGCUAACAGUAGUAUUGAACAAUUAUGGUAUGGGUGUAAGGUGAGAUCACCUAAUUUAAGGCCCUUUGUAUUUCUUUUUAUCGUUUUCCUAUAUAUAUAUAUGAUUGGCUAACAGUAUCCAUGUUUCUUCUCCCCUGCCUGAUUGCAGAGUGCAGUUAAUUUGAAAAUCAUCAAUCUCAGCAACUCAAUAAACCUGUCCAAGACUCCAGAUCUUACUGGAAUUCCAAAUCUUGAGAGUCUGAUUCUUGAAGGUUGUACAAGUUUGUCUGAGGUCCAUCCAUCACUUGGAUGUCACAAGAAGCUUCAAUAUGUGAAUCUUGUGAACUGCAAAAGUAUUAGGAUUCUCCCAAACAAUCUAGAAAUGGAAUCACUUAAAGUUUUCACUCUUGAUGGCUGCUCAAAACUUGAGAAGUUCCCAGAUAUAGUAGGAAACAUGAACAAAUUGAUGGUACUUCGUUUGGAUGAGACUGGUAUUACAAAACUAUCUUCAUCGAUUCAUCAUUUGAUUGGCUUAGGUCUAUUGAGCAUGAACAGCUGCAAGAACCUUGAAAGCAUUCCAAGUAGCAUAGGUUGUUUGAAAUCCCUUAAAAAACUCGAUCUGUCUGGCUGCUCUGAACUUAAAUAUUUAACAGAGAAUUUGGGGAAAGUUGAAAGUUUGGAGGAGUUUGAUGUAAGUGGAACUUUAAUAAGACAACUGCCAGCAUCCGUUUUUCUUUUAAAGAAUCUUAAAGUAUUAUCUUUGGAUGGAUGCAAAAGAAUAGCUGUGCUGCCUUCUUUGUCUGGUCUGUGUUCUUUAGAAGUACUGGGUUUACGUGCUUGCAAUCUAAGAGAAGGAGCACUUCUUGAAGAUAUUGGCUGCUUAUCUUCAUUGAGGUCUUUAGAUCUGAGCCAGAAUAACUUUGUUAGCCUGCCUAAAAGCAUAAAUAAGCUUUCUGAACUGGAAAUGCUUGUCUUGGAGGGUUGCACGAUGCUUCAAUCUUUGCUUGAGGUUCCAUCUAAAGUUCAAAUAGUAAAUUUGAAUGGUUGUAUAAGCCUAAAAACAAUUCCAGAUCCGAUAACGCUAAGCAGUUCCAAAAGAUCAGAGUUCAUAUGUCUUAACUGCUGGGAAUUGUACUAUCAUAAUGGCCAAGACAACAUGGGGUUGAUGAUGCUUGAAAGAUACCUCCAGGUCUUCUCUUAAUCAAACCCCAACCUUUUUCUAUCUCUCUCACUCUCCCUCUAUCUGUCUAACGUUUUGGUUCUUUAUGGUACAGGGUUUGUCUAAUCCAAGACCUGGAUUUGGUAUCGUUGUUCCAGGAAAUGAAAUUCCAGGGUGGUUUAACCAUCAAAGUAAGGGAUCUUCAAUUAGUGUGCAAGUGCCUAGUUGGAGCAUCGGGUUUGUUGCCUGUGUUGCAUUCUGUGCAAAUGGUGAAAGGCCUUCUGUUUUUUGUGAUUUCAAAGCCAAUGGAAGAGAGAAUUUUCCUUCGCCGAUGUGUAUUAGUUGUAACUCUAUCCAGGUUCUGUCAGAUCAUAUUUGGCUAUUCUAUCUAUCUUUUGAUCAUCUUAAAGAGCUUAAAGAAUGGAAGCAUGAAUCCUUUAGCAACAUUGAGUUGUCAUUUCAUUCUCUCGAGCAACGAGUAAAGGUGAAGAACUGUGGUGUCUGUUUUUUAUCUUCUCUAUAUAUUACAUCACAACCAUCUGCCCAUUUUAUUGUUACAAGCAAAGAAACAGCUUCUUCAUAUAAAGCUUCUUUAGCUCUUUCUUCAUCUUACCAUCAAUGGAAGGCCAGUGUUUUCCCUGGCAUCAGAGUCGCAGAUCGGGCCCAGAGAUUCAUUGUCCCAGUCGGGAAGGAACCAGGGAAAGUAAUGGCAAUUAGAUCAAGACUCUUUGAAGCCAUUGAAGAAUCAGGGCUGUCAAUUGUUAUAUUUGUAGGAGAUUGUGCUUCUUUACCUUGGUGCUUUGAAGAACUUGUCAAGAUUGUCGGAUUCAUGGAUGAGAUGAGAUCGGACACUGUUUUUCCAGUUUCUUAUGAUGUCGAACAAUCAGAGAUGGAUGAUCAAACAAAGAGUUACACAAUUGUCUUCGAUAAGAGUGAAGAAAAUUUCAGGGAAAACGAGGAGAAGGUGCCAAGGUGGAUGAAUAUUCUCAGUGCAGUUGAGAUUUCAUCUGUAACGAGAUCAUUGAAAAGGUAAUAAUUACUUCUUUUUUGUGCCAAGGUAUUACUACAAGUAAAUGAAACUGGGAAUGCUGAAAUAUGUUAAUAAAUCUAAUCUAUUUUUUAUGACAAUUAGGAAAUGUAUUCUUGAAAGUUAUGAAUUGUUAAAUACUUACAUGAGUUUUAAAUUAUAUAGUAAAUUAUUCGUUUAAUAAUUGAAAAUUUUAAACUUUAUAGCAUUUGAAUUUUAAAAUAACAAUAAUUGAUUCCAUGUAUAGUUUAAUGGGAAAAAGAAUGUUUAGUUUUCACGUCAUUUUUAUCUAAUCUAUUUUUUUAUGAUAAUUUUACCUGAACCGAAAGAUAGAACACAACACUUCUGACUUCUCCUUCUCACUCUUAGCAGCAUAGGAGCUCCAGCAACGCAGCAGCAGCAGCAGAUCCAGAUCUACCUCCACCAGCAGCAGAUCCAGCUCUACCUCCACCAGCAGCAGAUCCAGCUCUACCUCCACCAGCAGCAGCAGCGAAUCCAGCAUCUCCAGCUGCUCGAGCGGCGGCAGGGUUGGCUCCAACUGCUCGAGGAUCGGCUCCAGCUGCUCGAGGAACGGCUGCGGCAGCCCCAGCUGCUCGAGGAGCGGCGGCUGCAGCGCCAGCUGCUCAAGCAGUGGCUGCAGCGCCAGCUGCUCGAGCGGCGAGGGGAGCUCGAGCGGCGGGGGGAGCUCGAGUGGCGGGUGCUGGAGUGGGAGCGGCGGCAGCGGGAGCAGCGGGAGCAGCGGGAGCAGCGGAAGCAGCGGGGGCUGCUGGAGCAGCGGAAGCAGCGGGGGCUGCUGGAGCAGCGGCUGCUGGAGCAGCGGCUGCUGGAGCUGGAGCAGCGGCUGCUGGAGCGGGAGCUGGAGCGGGAGCGGGAGCGGGAGCAGCGGCUGCUGGAGCUGGAGGGGCGGCUGCAUGAGUGGCGGCUGCAUGAGUGGCAGCUGCUGGAGCGGGAGUUGGAGCAGCUGCGGGAGCAGCUGCGGGAGCGGCCGGAGCGGCCGGAGCGGCAGCUGGAGCGGGAGCAGCGGCUGCUGGAGCUGGAGGGGCGGCUGCAUGAGCGGCGGCUGCUGGAGCGGGAGUUGGAGCAGCUGCGGGAGCGGCCGGAGCGGCUGGAGCGGGAGCAGCGGCUGCUGGAGCAGCGGCUGCUGGAGCGGGAGCGGCGGCUGCUGGAGCGGGAGCAGCUGGAGCAGCGGCUGCUGGAGCAGCGGCAGCUGGAGCUGCAGCAGCUGCUUGAGCAGCAGCAUGAGUUUUGGUUACGAAUCUAACUUGCUUUAGCUUGAAGAUCUUCGUCAGUUUUCCAUGGAUCUAAUUUCUUAUUAGCUCUUGAUUUUUUUUCCUUGUUAAUUACCAUCAAAGUACAGUGAGCAGUGAUUGCAAGACAUCAUAUGAUCUUCCUUGUUGUUUGCAUGUUCAUCAAAGCAGCCAACACGAGGGAAAAAACAUAGCAAUGAUUUUCAUCAUGAUAGGACAGGGCCUUGUUUUUGCACAUGGUUUUGGUUUGGGGUAAUUAGAUUUACAUUUUGCAAUCAUAAGAUUGAUAUUUUUUUUUUAAAAGUUUUAUUAUUUAAUAUUUAAUUUAAUUAGAGAUUGAGUUUUAUUAAUUUUUUAUUUUUUGAUUUUUAUAAAAAUUUUAAAUAAUUUUAAAAAUAUUUUUUUUAGUUUUAUUAUUUAAUAUUUAAUUUAAUUAGAGAUUGAGCGUUAUUAAUUUUUUUUAUUUGUUAUUUAUAAAUUUUUUAAAUAAUUUUAAAAAUAACAGGGGUUAUUUUAAGUCUUUUUAUUUCUCAUUCUCUGUUAAAUUUAGCUACUAUUUUUUUAAGAAAUUAUUUUUUAAUUAAAUAAAAUUUUUUAUUUUUGACUUUUAAUAUUUGAUUGAUUGAAAUUGGAUUCUUUAUUUUAUUUAGAUAUGGGUUUCUUGGGGUUUUUUCAGAUUGUGAGUCUCACAUGUUAAUCAUAGUUUUUUUUUAUAGAGCAGAAUUAUCAUAACUAGCAGAGAUAAAAAAAGUGGUAACUGGAAAUUAAUAAUACUAAUAGAAUUUAUGAUGAUGAGAAAUUGAAUGAUGAUGAUGCUUUUAUGUUGUUUAGCCAGAAAGUUUUCAAAAAUGACCAGCCUGCUAAAGAUUUCGUGGAACUAUCCAAGCAAGUUGUGGGUUAUGUUAAUGGCCUUCCACUGGCUCUUGAAGUUAUAGAUUCGUUUUUGUAUUAAAAAAGUAUCCCUGAAUGAAGAGGUGAGCUUAAUAGAAUGAAUGAGAUUCCUGAUGGCAAAAUUAUUGAUGUGCUUUGCAUUAGUUUUGAUGGUCUCCGUGAAUCAGAUAAGAAUAUAUUUUUAGACAUUGCCUGUUUCCUGAAGGGGUUUAAAAAAGAUCGAAUAACAAGAAUACUUGAAAGCCGAGGAUUCCAUGCAGGUAUUGGAUUACCAAUUCUUAUUGAGAGAUCUCUCAUAAGCAUCUCUCGGGAUCAAGUCUGGAUGCAUAAUUUAUUACAGAUAAUGGGUAAGGAAAUUGUUCGUUGUGAAUCCCCUGAAGAGCCUGGAAGGCGUAGUAGAUUGUGGACAUACGAGGAUGUCUGCCUUGCACUAAUGAACAACACAGUGAGUAGUUGAUAGAGAACAUUAUCUAUUAGAUUUCAUAAAGUUUAUUUUAAUUUACACUCCAUCUCUACAAAUCUUUACUUUGUGAUUGUUUUUUACUUGUAUUCCCUUUUGGUUGACAUGGAAAAGAAAAAAUAGAAGCCAUAUUCUUGGACAUGCCUGGAAUAAAAGACGCACAAUGGAACAUGGAAGCCUUCUCUAAAAUGAGCAAACUAAGAUUGCUCAAAAUCGACAACGUGCAGCUUUCUGAAGGUCCUGAAGAUCUUUCCAAUAAGUUACGAUUUUGUAUUCCUUCAAAAUUUUCAGGAAUAUAAAUAUGCAUCAAUAAAAACCUGUCAGGUCUGACGCUAGCUAGAUCUAGGUAUAUUGGGCUCGACAAUCUGUCAAGUCCCGGACAUGCUGGGUCUGACAGUGUGGAAUGGCUUUCAUUUCUUGAGCAUGCCCAAGAGAAUGAUCAUUGGGUCUAACUUAUGGGAAUAACUCAAUCUCUACGAGCAUUAACUACAUUUGAUGUCCUAAACUCUAAUUUCCUUACAUCUUUUAGGUGUAUAAAAGUCUUCCAAGAACUCAUCAUAUUUCCAUCAAAUAUUAAUAUAGAUGUAAGAUAUAUUUAUCCUUUAUUAAAUGCUAUCGAGUCUCUUUAUAGAAGAACAAGACUCAUAUGCUAUAAAUACACAAUAAGACAUUCAGAACAGAGGUUCACAAUCUUUAUUUUCUACUACAUAUAUAAUUUCAGAGUAUUUUUUUCUAGAAUAUUUUUAUAUUUUUUUUUUAUAAAAAAAACAUACUUAUUUAAACAUCAGAUUUCAUCAUAAAUAUGUUCAUAGCAAAAAAUGAAAAAGAAAAAAAAAGCUGAUUCAGCAAAGCAAAUUAUUAAGGGUCUGUAUUUGCUUUCAUUAACUAAAAUAGCCAGAGAAACACAAUCCAUAUAUACAUGCCUGGAAUAAAAGAGGCACAAUGGAACAUGAAAGCCUUCUCUAAAAUGAGCAAACUAAGAUUGCUCAAAAUCGACAACGUGCAUCUUUCUGAAGGACCUGAAGAUCUUUCCAAUAAGCUACGAUUUCUUGAAUGGCAUUCUUACCCUUCAAAAUCAUUGCCAGCUGGUUUACAGGUGGAUGAGCUAGUUGAACUUCACAUGGCUA